GACGAACGUUGGCGGCGUGCCUAAUACAUGCAAGUCAACUGAAAUACCGGUAGCAAUACUGGUAUGGAGGUGGCGCACGGGUGAGUAACACGUAGGUAAUCUGCCUUCAGGUCUGACAUAACCCAUCGAAAGGUGAGCUAAUAUCAGAUGAUGCAGCGGCUUGACAUCAAGACAGUUGUUAAAGCUUCGGCGCCUGAAGAUGAGCCUGCGCUGAUUAGCUAGUUGGCGGGUAACGCCACCAAGGCUGCGAUCAGUAGCUGGUCUGAGAGGAUGAUCAGUCACACUGGAACUGAGAC
rnacentral:rRNA from 1 species